UUGAGAGUUUGAUCCUGGCUCAGAACGAACGCUGGCGGCAUGCCUAACACAUGCAAGUCGAGCGCACCUUCGGGUGAGCGGCGGACGGGUUAGUAACGCGUGGGAACAUACCCUUUUCUACGGAAUAGCCUCGGGAAACUGAGAGUAAUACCGUAUAAGCCCUUCGGGGGAAAGAUUUAUCGGGAAAGGAUUGGCCCGCGUUAGAUUAGAUAGUUGGUGGGGUAAUGGCCUACCAAG
rnacentral:rRNA from 1 species